rnacentral:rRNA from 1 species
UACGUAGGGGGCUAGCGUUGUCCGGAUUUAUUGGGCGUAAAGAGCGUGUAGGCGGCCAUGUAGGUCCGGUGUGAAAACUCGAGGCUUAACCUCGAGAUGUCAUCGGAAACCAUUUGGCUAGAGUCCGGAAGAGGAGAGUGGAAUUCCUGGUGUAGCGGUGAAAUGCGCAGAUAUCAGGAAGAACACCAAUGGCGAAAGCAGCUCUCUGGGCUGAUACUGACGCUCAUGCACGAAAGCGUGGGGAGCAAACAGG